GACGUUUAAAUAUAAUUACUAGACGGAAAGCAGCACGCGCGGAAACCAUGCAGACGAAUGGGAUUAGGCUCCGCCUCUUUUGGAUCAUUUGAAGACAAAAUAAGCUACCGAGGCGGCUUUUUGAUUGGAUAUGAGCCUCAUGAAUAUGUAUUUUAUCGAUAGUAUCGUUUAAGAAACCGGAUAAUAUAUUUGACCUCAUUGCGUCACUUUAAUUAUGCAGAUUUAUGCACGACGCUACUACACUCGCACAAACUGAGAAGAGUUAGUUCAUUGAGAAUGGAAUGAAACUGAUGAAGAUCUGGAAGGAGUUAACUGAUGAGUGGACAUUAAAACAUUUCUUAUAUUUGCAAGAUGAAGCAGAAAGUCCCAUGCAGGAUGAUGCUUCUCUACAGUGGACGAUGAAGGCAUGCUGGUUUACAAACUCAGGAGAGGAACAAAGAACAGAUAUCGAAGGAUCAUAUCUAGAAAUGCGGGCCUACUACACUUCAUACAAGCAAGUGUGCUAAUAUACAUACUUGGGUUAUCAUUACAGCCCUUUCUUCUGAAAACUAGG